UUACGGUCAAAUCACGCUGAAACACCGGUUCUCGUACGAUCACCGAAGUUAAGCAUCGUAGAGCCAGGUCAGUACUUAGAUGGGUGACCGCUUGGGAACACCUGGUACUGUAAG